AGGAUUGGACGAAAAUCCUUUUUCUUUUUUUCUUUAAAAAAGAAAAAGAUUGGAGGGAAAGCCUGACCCUUG
rnacentral:sRNA from 1 species